rnacentral:rRNA from 1 species
CUGGCUCAGGACGAACGCUGGCGGCGUGCUUAACACAUGCAAGUCGAACGCUGAAGCCUGGCACUUGUGUUGGGUGGAUGAGUGGCGAACGGGUGAGUAAUACGUGAGUGACCUGCCCUUGACUCUGGGAUAAGCCUGGGAAACUGGGUCUAAUACUGGAUACGACCAACGGAUGCAUGUCCUGUUGGUGGAAAGGGUUUGUACUGGUUUUGGAUGGGCUCACGGCCUAUCAGCUUGUUGGUGGGGUAAUGGCUUACCAAGGCGACGACGGGUAGCCGGCCUGAGAGGGUGACCGGCCACACUGGGACUGAGACACGGCCCA